rnacentral:rRNA from 2 species
UCUGGUGUCAGCCGCCGCGGUAAAACCAGCACCUCAAGUGGUCAGGAGGAUUAUUGGGCCUAAAGCAUCCGUAGCCUGCUCUGUAAGUUUCCGGUUAAAUCCAUUCGCUCAACUGAUGGGCUGCCGGAAAAACUGCAAAGCUAGGAAGUGGGAGAGGUAGACGGUACUCGGUAGGAAGGGGUAAAAUCCUUUGAUCUAUUGAUGACCACCAGUGGCGAAGGCGGUCUACCAGAACACGUUCGACGGUGAGGGAUGAAAGCUGGGGGAGCAAACCGGAUUAGAUACCCGGGUAGUCCCAGCUGUAAACGAUGCAGACUCGGUGAUGCUCUGGCUUGUGGCCAGUGCAGUGCCGCAGGGAAGCCGUUAAGUUUGCCGCCUGGGAAGUACGUACGCAAGUAUGAAACUUAAAG